rnacentral:lncRNA from 1 species
AGCAUCCUAUGGACACUUCUAAUUUAUGGUUUCCUCAAGUGGAGACAAUAUAGUUUGUGAUGUGAUAUAGUUUGUGAAACUACUGGGAACCUUAGUGAUGAUCCCAUCCACCUCUCUCAUUCCUGCAAAUGGGGGAACCUAAUCCCUUACGAAUGGUAUAUUCGGUGAUAAAGUUGGGAACGAAAAUCAGAUGUCUUGACUUAUAAUAAUUUUUCUUUUUCAGAACAUUAGCUCCUCUAACUGAUUUGAAUUUAAGAGGUAUAUUUUUUAUCUGCUUCUGAUCUCUGGGUCACAUUGUUUUCUGUUUGUUGGUACUGGAUUAUGUGAUGUAAACAUGGCUGACAUGAGAAGGCCUUUAGGAUAAGUGAGACAAAUUACAAGAAAAGGCUGAAAGGCUGAGGUAUGGGUGGAAACACUGAUGACCUCCAGAGUUGUCUAUGACCACUUAUUAUGGAUAAAUAUUAUUUGAAAAAUGUAUGAAACAUGGAGAACACCUGUAACAUACUCCUCAGGGACUUAUCUCGCUGACAGCUUAUGACUUACUUGAGUCUGUGAAAAAACUGUAUAAUUAUACAAACUCUUCUGUUAUGGUCAAAUACAUAAAAUAAG